CUACUUCCUGUCGUUGCUGCCGCUAGACUGCCCGCUCCCGUUGUUUCUGUUGGAAUGUCAGUGCGACGUGUGUGUGAAGAUAGGCUGCUAGCAGGCUGAACACAAACUUAGCGCCCUUGGAAGCAGAAGGAGUUUUCACGGUGUCAGAAUGAGAGGAGAAGAAAAAGAGGAGAGAAGUAAAGUUGCACCAGUCGAAGCUCUCUGCAUUUGUUUGGUUAUUCCAAGUGGGCCGCUACAAUAAAUGCUCCACUGCGUUCACCAGCUAGUCUCUGCUGUUUGGUGCUGAGCACGUAGUGUACAGUGGGUUCCUAUCAUCCCAUAAUCUCAGUAAGAUCAAGAUCUCUUUGCUAAGAAAGACCUGAAUACAACAGAGAGAAAGAAGAACAAACAACGAAACAUAACAAAAGCACAUCAUAUACAAUCAGACAUCAUUAGAUAGAUCAAAGAUCUCCAUUGAAAAUCAAGUUUUUCACCUUGUCGAUAAGACCACAAG